UAUCUAGCUUUCAGUGAGGGAUACCGGCGAGAAAUCGCCGACAAGCCCGCAUACGCUGCUCUGCCGCGAGGGGAGCAGGAAAGCCCUUUUCGGAGGGCGCUGGAAGAUGAGCCUGCGGCCGAUUAGCUGGUUGGUGGGGUAAGAGCCUACCAAGGCGACGAUCGGUAGCUGGUCUGAGAGGACGAUCAGCCACACUGGGAUUGAGAACGGCCCAG
rnacentral:rRNA from 1 species